UGAUAUGUUUUAAGAACUCUCAGAUCGCUAUGCACGACCCCUGCCAGUGGGUAACAGUAACUAGGCAUAUGACCCCCGCCAGUGGGUAAAAGUAACUUGGCUUUACGACCCUCGCCAGUGGGUAAUAGUAACUGGAAGAAGACCCUGCCAACGGGGAACAAUAGUUGGCAAAGAUUAUGGCCCUCGCCAGCGGGUUACAGUAGCUCAGCAUACGGCCCUCGCCAGCGGG
rnacentral:lncRNA from 1 species